rnacentral:rRNA from 1 species
UCACACCAUGGGAGUGGGUUGCACCAGAAGUAGAUAGCUUAACCUUCGGGAGGGCGUUUACCACGGUGUGAUUCAUGACUGGGGUGAAGUCGUAACAAGGUAACCCUAGGGGAACCUGGGGUUGGAUCACCUCCUU